GAUGAACGCUGGCGGCGUGCCUAAUACAUGCAAGUCGAGCGAACAGACGAGGAGCUUGCUCCCCUGACGUUAGCGGCGGACGGGUGAGUAACACGUGGAUAACCUACCUAUAAGACUGGGAUAACUUCGGGAAACCGGAGCUAAUACCGGAUAAUAUAUUGAACCGCAUGGUUCAAUAGUGAAAGACGGUUUUGCUGUCACUUAUAGAUGGUUCCGCGCCGCAUUAGCUAGUUGGUAAGGUAACGGCUUACCAAGGCAACGAUGCGUAGCCGACCUGAGAGGGUGAUCGGCCACACUGGAACUGAGACACGGUCCAGACUCCUACGGGAGGCAGCAGUAGGGAAUCUUCCGCAAUGGGCGAAAGCUUGACGGAGCAACGCCGCGUGAGUGAUGAAGGUCUUCGGAUCGUAAAACUCUGUUAUUAGGGAAGAACAAAUGUGUAAGUAACUAUGCACGUCUUGACGGUACCUAAUCAGAAAGCCACGGCUAACUACGUG
rnacentral:rRNA from 1 species